rnacentral:tRNA from 1 species
AGAGCGUCUGCCUUACAAGCAGAAUGUCGGCGGUUCGAUCCCGUCAGCGCCCACCA